rnacentral:rRNA from 1 species
AGGGGCAGCAUGGUCUUAGCUUGCUAAGGCUGAUGGCGACCGGCGCACGGGUGAGUAACACGUAUCCAACCUGCCGUCUACUCUUGGCCAGCCUUCUGAAAGGAAGAUUAAUCCAGGAUGGGAUCAUGAGUUCACAUGUCCGCAUGAUUAAAGGUAUUUUCCGGUAGACGAUGGGGAUGCGUUCCAUUAGAUAGUAGGCGGGGUAACGGCCCACCUAGUCAACGAUGGAUAGGGGUUCUGAGAGGAAGGUCCCCCACAUUGGAACUGAGACACGGUCCAAACUCCUACGGGAGGCAGCAGUGAGGAAUAUUGGUCAAUGGGCGAUGGCCUGAACCAGCCAAGUAGCGUGAAGGAUGACUGCCCUAUGGGUUGUAAACUUCUUUUAUAAAGGAAUAAAGUCGGGUAUGCAUACCCGUUUGCAUGUACUUUAUGAAUAAGGAUCGGCUAACUCCGUGCCAGCAGCCGCGGUAAUACGGAGGAUCCGAGCGUUAUCCGGAUUUAUUGGGUUUAAAGGGAGCGUAGAUGGAUGUUUAAGUCAGUUGUGAAAGUUUGCGGCUCAACCGUAAAAUUGCAGUUGAUACUGGAUGUCUUGAGUGCAGUUGAGGCAGGCGGAAUUCGUGGUGUAGCGGUGAAAUGCUUAGAUAUCACGAAGAACUCCGAUUGCGAAGGCAG